AUUGGAAAUAAUACCAGCUUAUAUAUAUAUGACAGGUCGAUCAGGAAAAAAGCCGGAUAGUACAGGUAUAAAUGUAUGAAUAUAUAAAUAAAAAUAUGUGUAUGCAAAUAAGUGUGAAUAAAAAAUACAAUAUAGAUGCUACAAAAAUAAAUGUUGAACUAAUAUGUUCCGCUAAUGCAAGCGGGUUAGCUCUAACCUCUAAUAAGGGGAAAAUAUGCCCAAUAGAAGGGAGUGAGGCAGUAAACAACAAGUAAGGGUCUCACUUAGGGAUCUGUACCCAGAAAUAAAGAGUAAAAUUAGUGAUAUUGUGAAGAAGGAAUAAACUGCAAUGGGAAGUGGGGGCAAUAUGACAGAGUCUGCCGAAAUCAAAAUAAUGUAGGUGAACCUAUCACAAUUACUCGCAGUGAGGUCGGGAAGGAAAAAAAAAACAGAUCAUGGUAGGGAGAUUGGAAAAUGAACCAUAGAGGACUGCAUAAACUAAACUUAACUGGCAAAUAUAUGAAUCAAGCACCCAGUAGCUGGUAUAAAUCUUAUACCACAAUACAUUAACCACUUAAGGGCCAAACUUCUGGAAUAAAAGGGAAUCAUGACAUGUCACACGUCAUGUGUCCUUAGGGGGUUAAAUAGUGUGAAUGGCUCUAAGAGGAUAAAUAGCUAUCUAACAUAGAAAU